CAAAACAACCUUGCAAGUAGACCAUGUGGCGCUUCACUGAAUUAUUGAGGCCCAGGAGCUUAGUGAGCUGGUAGUCAGCACUGGGCAUAUCGUAGCCCGAAGUGGUGCAAAAUAUGAGGUGGGUGAUCUCUGAUUUGGAGUGCCCCCACUCCUUGAUGGCUUUGUCAGCGGCUUCUUUUCCGAGCUUCGGAACCUCCAUCCUCAAAAUUUCCUGGCGAGCGUCGAACGAGGGAGCCGAAUAGUGGCACAUGUUAGGGUUUUCGAUAUUUUAUCAUCAUAUUAAUAUAUUUUAUACUCGAUAAAUGUAAAUAUCAAAAUAUUUAUUCAAACACUCAAAUUAAAAACUAAUUUUCAAUUUUCAAUAUAUAAAUAACUUCUCACUUAUAAGUUAUAAUUUAUAGACACUUCUUUUAACUUAAGUUAGACGACCACGUUUAUUUCAUGACUUCAAAAUUCAUGUAUUAUAAUAAUUCAUUAUUAUCAUUAAAGUUAACAUUUAUACAACAUAUAUAGCUGACCACUCUUCUUUUGUAAUCUUUUUUUCAUCUCCUUCACUUAUUAGAAAGCUACGGGCCACCGAGCAGGUCUGGCUUGCGGGCAGCCAAACCAAUCAGCCAAUAACAAAUUAGACCAAAGCAUAUUAUAGCAGGCAGGUCAUGCAUACAUUGAAUCACAUAUAUAGAAAAACGUUUCUACAAUAAGAAACUUAAUGAUUUACUCUUAUACAAGCUAUUGUAAAUGUUGUACUUUCGUUAUGGGAGAAAUAGUUUCAAGCAUACACAAGGAGAUGACACAAUAUAUGGACAGAACAAAAGUUAUUAGUACAACACAAUAUAUAUAUUACUAUACGUUGAAACAUGAAAUUAUACAUAACCCCAUUAACUGGUAUUACAAGCUCUCUUAUUCUUACUCAAAACGUCUUAUUUUUAUUUUGAAACUGAACAAAUCUUGGCCAAGACUUACUAAUAAUUGCAAUUUACACAACAAUUAUUAGUCUGUAGUCAAAAUUUGGUAGAUUUUAUUUUGAAAUUUUAAGAUAGUCUGAUUCCUUCUCAUCAAGCAAUAACCGGCAUACUAUGCAGCACCACGGUUUCGACGGUAAAACCCGGACCAAACCCCAAAGCGACGCCCCAGUCGAGCCCAUCGCCAGUAGUUGCCCUGCCAUCAUUCAUUGAUUUCUUCCUCAUUUCAUCCAUAACAAAAAACACACAUGCACCCGCCAUGUUACCAUACUCACUCAGCACCUUCCGAGACGCCCACAUUUUCUCUUCUUUGAGACCUAACACAUGUUCCACCUGGUUCAAGAUGGCUGGGCCACCAGGGUGCGUUAUAUAAAACAGCGAAUUCCAGUCAGUUAUGCCAAGGGGCUCGAAAACUUCUUUAAGUAUCUUCUCCAUAUUCCCUGCAAAUAAUGUGGUUAUGUUCCUUUUGAGAAAGAACAUUAAGCCUGACUCUCCCAGUUUCCCACGGACUGUGUCCUCAGAAUCAGGCACUAGAUGUUGGGCCGCGAAUACAAUCUGGAAGAGUGGACGUUCGGUUAGAGGAUCCGGAUCAGACCCCACAAUCACCGACGAGGCCCCAUCACCAAACAGUGCUUGAGGGAGCAAAGAGUGUAUAUGAGGCCCUCGGAACGUGAUGGUUGUGAUCUCGGAACAAACCACGAGAACACGUGCACCCUUGUUGUUCUCGGCGAGAUCUUUCGCCAGGCGAAGAACCGUCCCACCUGCAAAACAACCUUGCAAGUAGACCAUGUGGCGCUUCACUGAAUUAUUGAGGCCCAGGAGCUUAGUGAGCUGGUAGUCAGCACUGGGCAUAUCGUAGCCCGAAGUGGUGCAAAAUAUGAGGUGGGUGAUCUCUGAUUUGGAGUGCCCCCACUCCUUGAUGGCUUUGUCAGCGGCUUCUUUUCCGAGCUUCGGAACCUCCAUCCUCAAAAUUUCCUGGCGAGCGUCGAACGAGGGAGCCG
rnacentral:lncRNA from 1 species